GGGUCUCUAACCAACGAGAUCCGCGCCGUCGCUAACGCAUUAAGUGCCCCGCCUGGGGAGUACGGUCGCAAGACUAAGACUCAAAGGAAUUGACGGGGGCCCGCACAAGCAGCGGAGCGUGUUGCUUAAUUCGAUGCUACGCGAAGAACCUUACCUAGGUUAAAUCAUUGGGAAAAGCCACAGAGAUGUGGUGUCCUUCGGGGCUCAAUGAAGGUGGUGCAUGGCUGUCGUCAGCUCGUGUCGUGAGAUGUUGGGUUAAGUCCCGCAACGAGCGCAACCCUUAUUCUAUGUUGCCAGCACGUAAUGGUGGGGACUCGUAGGAGACUGCCGGGGUCAACUCGGAGGAAGGUGGGGACGACGUCAAGUCAUCAUGCCCCUUAUGUCUAGGGCUGCAAACACGCUACAAUGGCCGGUACAGAGGGCUGCGAAACCGCGAGGUUUAGCGAAUCCCAUAAAGCCGGUCUCAGUUCGGAUUGAAGGCUGCAACUCGCCUUCAUGAAGCUGGAGUUGCUAGUAAUCCCGGAUCAGCACGCCGGGGUGAAUACGUUCCCGGGCAUUGUACACACCGCCCGUCACACCACGAAAGUCGGCAACA
rnacentral:rRNA from 1 species